UUCCCAGUAUGCUGCUUACUGUUUGCCUC
rnacentral:sRNA from 1 species